rnacentral:rRNA from 1 species
GUGCCAGCCGCCGCGGUAACACGUAGGGGGCGAGCGUUGUCCGGAUUUAUUGGGCGUAAAGAGCUCGUAGGCGGCUCACUAAGUCGGGUGUGAAACCUCCAGGCUCAACCUGGAGACGCCACCCGAUACUGGUGUGGCUAGAGUCCGGUAGGGGAGCAUGGAAUUCCUGGUGUAGCGGUGAAAUGCGCAGAUAUCAGGAGGAACACCAGUGGCGAAGGCGGUGCUCUGGGCCGGAACUGACGCUGAGGAGCGAAAGCAUGGGGAGCAAACAGGAUUAGAAACCCUGGUAGUCC